rnacentral:rRNA from 1 species
GACGAACGCUGGCGGCGUGCUUAACACAUGCAAGUCGAACGGUGAUGCUCCAGCUUGCUGGUGUGGAUCAGUGGCGAACGGGUGAGUAACACGUGAGCAACCUGCCCCAGACUCUGGAAUAAGCGCUGGAAACGGCGUCUAAUACUGGAUACGAAACUGGCCCGCAUGGGCAUGGUUUGGAAAGUUUUUCGGUUUGGGAUGGGCUCGCGGCCUAUCAGCUUGUUGGUGAGGUAAUGGCUCACCAAGGCGACGACGGGUAGCCGGCCUGAGAGGGCGACCGGCCACACUGGGACUGAGACACGGCCCAGACUCCUACGGGAGGCAGCAGUGGGGAAUAUUGCACAAUGGGCGAAAGCCUGAUGCAGCGACGCCGCGUGAGGGAUGACGGCCUUCGGGUUGUAAACCUCUUUCAGCAGGGAAGAAGCGAAAGUGACGGUACCUGCAGAAGAAGCACCGGCUAACUACGUG